GGUCUAAAAAUAGGUGUUGUCCGAACACCUCAAAUUGGUUAGGUUUAGAUUUCUGUUUGCGUGAUAGUUAAUUUAAUCAGUAAUUGGGAAAAACCCAAUUCAGUAACCGCAAAAUACAGCUGCAGGCUGAGCAGAUUAUUCAAUAUCGGGACUACAGAUGGCGCAAAAGUCUUCGUUAUCAGCAAGGUGAACGGCUGAACGCUUGCGGGCUCUCACAUACUGACGUGAAACUUCGGGCAAGUUGCUUCGGGACUAGAGUUGGAUAACGGAACUGUUGUAGGUGUGUUUUGGAGUUCAUCUCGCAUUCUCGCAUUCUCGCAGUUUCACUUUCAUCAUUCGUUUGAGAGAGUCUAGAGUGAUUUCAUGUCGAAAUUAACAGCAUCCGAGUGUAAGAGCGAAUUUAAAAAUAACGUGAUUGCUAUUAUAUUAUGGUGAUGUGUUAGGAAAAAAGUGUCAUCUACCCCAAAAUAACAAAAUCAACUUCAUCUAUCAUCUGUGGUGUUAUUAAACGGUGACGGAUGGGGAAUACCGGAAAAAUCAUACUUGUCUUUUUCGUGAUUGUCCUUGUGGUGCUGGUUAUCGUCAUUGCUUCUGUGUAUCCGAGCGAGCAAGAUCCAAAAAUAUGGAACUCUACACAAGAAAACGACACAGAGGAUUUGUCGAUGGGUGCUAUUGGACUAGCACCGAAUCGUGGCAACGCGAAUACUGGCUUUGACAAAACCGGAAAACUGAAGCCAAAAUGGGGAUAACCCGGAGUUUCUUGAUUUCGUCACGCUACCAUAGACGUCAUACAUCCAAAACCGUGUUAACACUACACUGCUCAGUGCUGCUAAACUGCUCAUCUGUUUCGCAAUAGAUUCACAGUGGAUUUCUAUAUUCCAAAAAUUAUUUAAAUGAAAUUAAACCAUUAAACACGUUGUUUUUGUAGUUGAAAUUCCUGUAUGUCAACAUUUUUCGAAUAUUUGUGAAUAUUAAUUUCGUUCUUGAAAAUGCGUCAUCUGUAAAUAUAUGGCAACGCUUUCUCUUGUUGUUUGAAUUUUAACUCUCCUUAAAGUCGUCUGUCUUACAGUGUCUUUUGCUCUUGUAUUUUACUCACGUUGGUCCCAAUUUAUUUGAUUGUACAAAUCGUGAAUUAUAUCAGAGAAAUGUUUCCAGAUUAUUCAAAUGACAGCUUCACUGAACAAUCAAAUGAAGUUGCUCCAAAGAGAGAUGUUAAUAUUCCACAGUUGAUGUGCAUGGGAAAGGUCAGUUUUGCUGAGGAUGUCUUCCAUUCAGCUGGUUAUGUUUGCAGCAGAGAGUUUGACUAUGUGCUCAACAAUCGGGAUCCUUUUUAUUCUUUACAUACAGAAGAGAAUGUGCUGCUGUUCAACAAGUGCUUCAUUUUUGAAGAAGCCUUUUUUAAUGAUCAAGAAUUACUUUUUACUCUAUUAAAAACUACAUACUCAAAGAUUGAGCUUGCAGCCAAAGCAAAUCAGGUUCACACUACAGGCACAUCUCCCACAGUUAUGAGACAAAAUGCUGUGAAUUUUAUGUCUUAUUUGAGAGUUUAUACAUACAGGUUUUUAUCAGAAUUUGGGAAAGAUGAUGAGCUUGAAGUUCUCUAUGAAAAGCUAACUGAAAUUAUUGAACAAACAUGUUUAUGGUUGACUUGUGUAAGUGACAUGCCAAGUAUAGUAUUCAGCAGUGGAUCACUGAACAACAAUUCACCAAUAGCUGUUCUGUUCCACACUUAUUUUGACAUCAAAUGGUCUCUUCUUGAGAUAGCCUACAUGGCCACCAACCUGAGAAAGUACAAUGAAAAUUCAAGAAAAUCUAGAGAAAAAUUCAUGGUGAUAUUGCAGCAGCUUGAAGAAAGCUUGUGUGGUGAUCUGUUAUAUCUGGCCAUCCGCAAAUUUCCUGAAGUAUCCCCGAAUGAUUGGUCAGGAACAAGUCCUUUCAAUUGCACUUGUAUACGGGAGUUGUGGUUCAUGCUAUUGGUCAUUUUGAAAAGUGAAAACUCAGUUUACAACUUUAUCCUGAAACAGUACACCAACCUACUAGAGAACCCCAGUCCUGCAGGAUUUUUUCAAAAUUUUAGUGAUACUAAAAGGCUCAAAAUGCCGUCCAAAGAUCCGUUGGCGCUUGCGUGGCUGUUCACUCACCUUUCUCGACUCGGUGGAUUCAGUCAAAUAGGAAAUUGGGAUAGGAACUUUUCUCGAAUUGAAUCCAAUUUCGAUGUUAUCAACAAAUUGGUCCAGUUGUACUUAAUGGGCACGGACGCAAUCGUUAAUGAAGAGCGCACAAAAGGACUUGUGGGCUGUUUGUAUUCCCUUUCACAAAUCUGGGGUUCUAAUCUAAACUUGUGCAUCAUUCUUUGGGAGUACUUCAACAAGAAAUUGGAUGAUAGUUUCACUACUACAUCUUCUGCCUUUGAACAAUUACCUUAUUCCUCAAGUCUUUCCUGGUACGAAACUUUAACCUCGAACGUAGAACCGUGGAAAAGUCUGACCACUCGACACAACAGUUACUUUAUUUUCCUUCGGUUAUUGGGACAUCAUAUGGAGUUACUGAAUACCAAAAGCCAAGCUUCGUUAAAAGCUAGACUUUAUGUGAAACUCCAAGGCAAGAAAAUCCAGGAACUGAGUUUAUUGGGUCUUUAUCACAUGAUUAGCGCCUGUUUGACGAUUGUUCUCACCAGUGAAUCUUCAGAUGACAUGUGUUCCAAAAUCCUGGAGAUGUCAGCCAAUCACAAACAGAAAUUCAUUUUUUUCGUGGCCGAAAUGGUUAUGCUCUUGAUUUGUGUAAGUCGUGGGCGUGAUUGCCAACAAGUGGCCACGUCAAUUUCAUCCCAAAUGGAGAAAGUAUCACGCAGUCUGAAAGACGGUGAUCUCAAAGUGCGCGAAGAGCAGCGCAAAUACAGUGCGGUUUUUAUCGAAAAUUUCCAAGAAGUAAUUUUUCAGAGCAAGAAUUUCUCCCUCGGGCAGAAAAUUUUAAUAGAUAAACCCCUUCGAAGUUAUUUGAAAAGCUGCGGCAACUGCGAUCGAUCUGUUAUUCUCGACUCACUUUCCAACAUGUUUAAGAAGCUUCGUAACACUCCCGAUAAUUGCGAAGAAAUCUACGCUGCCGUGAUGACCCACGUUUAUCCUUUGAUGAAGGAGAAAUUCGCAUCGAUUGAGCACAUAUCUUUUUUUGUCGAACUCACAACUGUCGCACUCGACACCAGCAGGCCGGAAUUUCAAAGCAUUUUCACUUUUCUGUGCCUCGAUGACAAAGUGAAUCCGAGGUUGAGUUUGAAAUACUUGUCGCAGCUGUUGGAAACGAGGCAGUUUCUCGUCAAUCUCUCUUUUUCCGUGGACAAUUAUCAAACAGUCCUUAUACAAAGCUGGUUUCGGAUCUCGUUUCUUCUUCCGACAGUUGCCGAAUGGACCGAUGAUUUCGAUCGCCUUAAUAGCAUUGUGAAACGCCUUCCACGAAUGGCUGAACUGACUAUUCAGUCUAAUAUUCAGUUCAAUGGUACCGAAAUGAUCCUGGAAUUCUUGAUGAUGAUUUCAGCGAACCAUCAAAAUAUUCAGAAUUACAGUGAGCGGGCUAUUGUCAAAGAGACUUAUCUCCAGUACAUCGGACCGCUGGAUAAAUACCUGAAUUCUGGGUUUACUGGGGGUUUUUGGGAAGCAACCGAUCAAGUCGGUCACAUAUUGCGCCUUGGGGGACAAAUUUACUUUCACGGCGGCAAUAUCAUCUACACGAAAGGCAAAGUUGAUUGCCUAUUGGCCCAGCUGAACAACGUCCUGUUAAUUCCUAUCAAUUUCUCCGAUGUAAACAAAGAGCUCCCCGCUGCGGCCAUUUCCCCACUACAACAAUACCUCCCAUCAUACAUUUUUGGACUAUUCCGGCUCAACCCGUCUCGAGAUCCGUACGUGAUGCGGUGCCUCAGCACAGUCUUUCAAACUUAUAUGACUCGGUUUCCGCCCAAUCAUUCUCAUCCAUUCACGCGAUGCUGGAUUGGCCUGGAAAGUGAACCCAUUUCCAACACUCUGGUGCCAAUCGUGAGGUCCUGGUUCCUGCAGACCAUUGCCAGCAGUGUUCUACCCCAGAAAGCGGCUAAAACGUCACCGUAUUUACAACCGACUCUCCAUUGGUUAAAAUUCUUGAUCACCAACAAAGACUGGAAAUUGGAAAUUCUCAAAUCGAUUUUACUGCCGAUCUUCGAACUCUCGUUAAUUCUUGAUGAGAUCGUCGGAAAGAAGACCGUCACGGAUUUCUUGCAAUCUGCGGUUUCUUCUCCCAAUGCCGAACAGACGGCGGUGAUGGAGCAAGCAUUGAACGAGUUCGUGGGGCGCCAUUUGGCAUUCAAUUCCAGCAGGCUGUUCAAAUUAAUGGAGGUCAUUUCCUUCCUCAAUGCAGAUUUGGUUAGGCGAACACUUCCCAAACUCAGGGAGCAGGUGGCCGUCACUGAAUUGAAGCGCGGAAUAGGUGCCGAUUCCGUUCUCAGACAACUUCUUGGAACAUUGGAACUAUCUUUGGGUCAGUCACGAUCCAAUUGAUUGAUCCUCCUUUUCAGCAACAGAAAGUUCCUUUAUGCCGAGCGGUUCAAAAUGUCCCGACAAGCAAGAGGAAGAAUGAAAAAGAUGGAGCGACGCAACCCAGACACCAUUGUUUCGUCGCCUUGGCUAAUUAAUACUGGCGCAGAUGUUGCGGACUCUAGCGCUUGAGGGGCCCCCGAAACAAAA
rnacentral:misc_RNA from 1 species